rnacentral:rRNA from 1 species
GUCCACGCCCUAAACGAUGUCUACUAGUUGUCGGGUUUAAUUAACUUGGUAACGCAGCUAACGCGUGAAGUAGACCGCCUGGGGAGUACGGUCGCAAGAUUAAACUCAAAGGAAUUGACGGGACCCGCACAAGCGGUGGAUGAUGUGGAUUAAUUCGAUGCAACGCGAAACCUUACCUACCCUUGACAUGGCAGAAACCUCCGAGAGAUUGGAGGGUGCUCGAAAGAGAAUCUGCACACAGGUGCUGCAUGGCUGUCGU